AACCGCCGUAUACCGGACGGUAUGUACGGUGGUGUGAGAGGUCGGGAAAAUUAUUUAAUUUUCCCUCCUACUCGAU
rnacentral:autocatalytically_spliced_intron from 1 species